AUCACUCCAGUCUGCAGGUCAGUUGGGAUUUGAACACUGGAGCGUGCCAUACAGUCGGUGUCGGUGACCUCACUGAGGUCAAAGGUCAGACCAGUGGAAGCGUGUGGAGCUCCUACAGGAAGUCGUGUGUGAACACUGUCAUGCGGUGGCUCGUUCCCGAGAGCAGCUCGCGCUACAUCAACCGCAUGACCAAUGAGGCUCUGCAUAAAGGUUCUUCUCUUCAGG